CGCAGCAAUGGCGCCCUGCUUCCCUUGCGGGCCCAGGCUUCCUCCGGGGUCCCCUCGGCUGUGGCCUUUGGCUCCCCAGCCCCUCAGACUGUCCCCUCACAGCCUACCGCAGCCCUCUCCCCGGCACCGGCCUCCAGAGCCUGCGUCUCAGCACCCAGCCCCCGCCCGAGCAUCUCUGGCCGCGGCGGUGGUGCAGGUGGUAGAUGGUCUGUGCGGCUCCAGCGCUGCCUGGUUCUCCUCCGACCAGCUGCUGUGCUUUUCUCCACGACGUUGAGGUCCCUCCGUCUCCGCUGAUGUCCCGUCGGUCAGGUGGCCUCCCAGAAUAUCUACCUGAAAUCUACCUAAAUCCUCCUGAAAAUGGAUAUCUUCCCAUUGUGAUUGGGACCUCAGCCAUCAGUGUUCUCCCUCUCUUCCUCCUCUUCCUCCUCCUCUGCCAUUGCUGGUGUCGAGCCAAACACAGGGCCACGGAUGAUGAGAAGACAAUCAAUCUAAGAGGAGUGAGAAGGAGGGGCAACCGGGGUAGGGAAAGAUGUGUUCAGGAGAAGAUAGACGGCCUCCCGGAAGGAGCAGAGACGUGGCACACACCUCACUGGGUGGUGUCUCAGUGGAUAUCGCCUCUGAGGGGGACAGACAGAUGGACAUGGAGGCCCUCCCAGAGGAAGACCCACAGGACGUGAUCUCUGUUCAGCAACACUGAGAUUCCCUGAUGGGGAGUGUGGAUUCAGAGUUCUCCUGCACCCUUGAGGAAUCCUUGUGAUAGCCCUGUGUGUAUAUCACCCUCCCCUGGUCUUGAGUGCAGAGCCAGAACUGGCCAUGUGGACUCCAGCGCUUAAGGGCCCCUUAAGGAAGAUGCGGCGUCCCACUCGUGUCCCCCACAGCAGCAGCAUCUUGGAGCUCCCCAAAGACUCAAGAAUAGAGAAGCCUUGUCACCUGUCAAGAAAUUCUGGGAUGCAUCGCAUCCCUCAACCGAUUCCUGGUUCCUUCUGUUUUUAUCCCCUCAUUUGCUUAUUUAACAGAUAUUCGCAGAAGUUGACUCUUCCUUUGCACCUGUGCUGAGGAGGGACAGAUCAGUAGGACACAGCUCCUGGUCUUAAGGAGUGCCUGGCCUCCUGAGAGAGGCAAACCUUAUGAUCGCUUGGGCCCUUAGAAAGCAAAGAGGGGGUGAGCUACUGGAGCAGGGGAAGGAUGAUGUGGGCGACACAGGAAUACUCAUCCGGGUGCAUUUAAGGAGGACCCACAGGUACCCAACGCAAGGAGAAGUCAAGAAGACAUAGGAGUCAAACUGGGCGGGAGGGAGUUCCUGGUGGCAUUUUGCUCCAAUGCUCUAGGUUUUGUGUGAGCUGAAGCCUUCAGAGCAGCAAAAGGCGAACAAGAAAGAUUCUUUGUAAAGGAACCAAAUUGCAACUAUUUGACCGGAAGAAGGAUUUCUCUUGGGGAGGGGAAUGGUGCAGAGGGUGUUUGGGGGGGGGUAUGGUUUCCCUCUAGUUUUGGUGAAUUUCACUUUUUAGUUAUGCAAUGAAAAGAAAUAGAAUACAAUAUAACGAGAUGGGAGUGGCAGGAGAGGAAUUGGAGUUGGUAUUAAAGUAGAUGCGAAUGAUUACAUUUGAGAUGGAUGAGCAGUGAGGUCCUACAGUACAGCACAGGGGACUCUGUCCAGUCUCUUGGGAGAGACUAUGAUGGAAGAUAAUAGGAGAAAAAGAAUUUGUGUGACUGGGGCACUCUGCUGCACAGCAGAAAUUGGCACAACACUGUAAUAAAAAACCAAAAAAAAUACAAAAAAAUUCAGUUCAGUUUUGGCACCAGGACGUAGAGAAGAAAGUUAAUGGCAGGGCCAGUGAAAUACAGCACAGUGGUUUGGAGUGGAGAGUAGGAGUAAGAGAGGGAAAUCGAGCAUGCGUGUUGAUUGAUGGAAAGAAAUAUGGGGAGCGCAUAAUGUGGAUGAUAUUGGGGAGUGACCAUCAGUGGGACAGGGUAGCAUUGAGAGCCCCGACUCGGGAAUAGAUGGGUUAACCUGGGUUCAGAUUUCUCCUUCUGUACCCACUUGCUGCACGGUCACGCACACACUUCAAAAUGAUUCUCUGAGCCAGAAGGACACUUGUCAUUGAUGGAGGAGGAAAUCCAAGCUCAUGCGAGCACGGGCUAAGAUGCAAUCUUUUCGGAAUUAGAGAAAUAAAGAUUCCAACAACGACAUGCCGUUGCUUCCCUUCCAUCUGCUAUGAUGGAAUUGCGGCCACCUCCAAACUCCUAUGUCAAAUGUCGCAACCCCCAGGACCUCAGAAUGGGGCCUUCUUUGGAAAUGAGGUCAUCGCAAGUGUGCUUACCCAGGAUGAAGACAUACUGGAGCAGGACGGCUUCUCACCCAGCAUGACUUGUGUCCUUAUUUAAAAACAAGGAAACGAUGGAGUUCCUGUUGUGGUGCAGCGGAAAUGAAUCUGACCGGAACCAUGAGGUUGCAGGUUCCAUCACUGUGUCCUCGCUCCGUGGGUUAAGGAUCUGGUGUUGCCGUGAGCCGUGGUGCAGGUCGGAGACGUGGCUUGGAUCCCGCGUUGCCGUGGCUAUGGCGUAGGCUGGCGGGGGCAGCUCUGAUUCUACCCCUAGCCUAGGAACCUCCAUAUGCCGCGGGGGAGGCCCUAAAAAGAAAAAAAAAAA
rnacentral:lncRNA from 9 species